rnacentral:rRNA from 1 species
UACAGAGGUCUCAAGCGUUGUUCGGAUUCAUUGGGCGUAAAGGGUGCGUAGGCGGCGCGGUAAGCCGGGUGUGAAAUCUCGGGGCUUAACUCCGAAACUGCAUUCGAUACUGCCGUGCUUGAGGACUGGAGAGGAGACUGGAAUUUACGGUGUAGCGGUGAAAUGCGUAGAUAUCGUAAGGAAGACCAGUGGCGAAGGCGGGUCUCUGGCCAGUUCCUGACGCUGAGGCACGAAGGCCAGGGGAGCAAACGGG